AAGGUAUAAAAUGUAGGCACGACUGGUAAUACAGGUUUCCUGCCCUAAUUUUCCUGCGUGUCUAGUUUCUGAGAAAGGAGAGAGAGAGGUUAAGACUUGGAAGUGGCGAUGGCUGCACCAGAUACUGAAGUGGAAGUAGCUUCUUCUUCUCAGAUGAAGGAAGCAUUGAUGGAUUCCAAAAUGGAAGUUUUGCAGGAAAAUUAUACACGGUAACUUGUAUCUCUGUCCGUAGGGAAAAAGUAUUAGCAAGAGUAUUGAACCACACACUUUGUUACUAUGUGAAAGAUCCCAUUGAAGGUUUUGAAGGAGCUAACCCAACCAUAAACUAUGUUCUUAGAAGAACUAACCCAUUGAUAUGAUACAGAACCAUGUGUUCUAAACCACCCUUAGGAGGCUCACCCGCAGCAGCAGCCCCUACGCCCAUUGGGAAGGAACAUAGAUCAUACAUAGAUGCUUUGCAAUAAUAAGUGACCAUAUUUGGUAUUGGGUUCAGCGAAAUGUGACUUUAGUACUCAUAAUUAAUAGAAGUAUUCAGUUGACCCAUUUCAACAACGGCUUCCAUAGCAUAGUGGUAUUGCGUUCGCUUCGUAAGCGAAAGGUCACGAGUUCAAUCCUCGUUGGGAGCUCAUCAUAUUUUUUACGAAUUUUGAUUAUUUUCGUAUAUUUUUUUAAUCAAACUUAUUGUGGUUAUUUCCGCUAUGGCGCUUCAAGUAAGAAUGAUUGUCCUA